rnacentral:rRNA from 1 species
AAGCCAAGCUUGCUUGGUGGAUCAGUGGCGAACGGGUGAGUAACACGUGAGCAACCUGCCCUGGACUCUGGGAUAAGCGCUGGAAACGGCGUCUAAUACUGGAUAUGAGCUCUCAUCGCAUGGUGGGGGUUGGAAAGAUUUUUCGGUUUGGGAUGGGCUCGCGGCCUAUCAGCUUGUUGGUGAGGUAAUGGCUCACCAAGGCGUCGACGGGUAGCCGGCCUGAGAGGGUGACCGGCCACACUGGGACUGAGACACGGCCCAGACUCCUACGGGAGGCAGCAGUGGGGAAUAUUGCACAAUGGGCGCAAGCCUGAUGCAGCAACGCCGCGUGAGGGAUGACGGCCUUCGGGUUGUAAACCUCUUUUGGUAGGGAAGAAGCCUUCGGGUGACGGUACCUGCAGAAAAAGCGCCGGCUAACUACGUGCCAGCAGCCGCGGUAAUACGUAGGGCGCAAGCGUUAUCCGGAAUUAUUGGGCGUAAAGAGCUCGUAGGCGGUCUGUCGCGUCUGCUGUGAAAUUCCGAGGCUCAACCUCGGGCUUGCAGUGGGUACGGGCAGACUAGAGUGCGGUAGGGGAGAUUGGAAUUCCUGGUGUAGCGGUGU